rnacentral:lncRNA from 1 species
UUUUCAUAAAACAAUAUAGCUUCUUCUUAGGUAUUUUUUUGCCUCCUUGUCACCUUUUCACUGUGCCCUUAGGAGGGAUAAAAAGUCGGCGAAAUCAAUGCAUCGCCACGUCCUUCAAGAACAAUUUCAAUGACCAGGUGAGUACCUAUAUUUCAGAUGAGAAUUGGCAUCCUCAUCAUCAUAUCGAUUAUGCUAAUUUAUGGGUUUAUCAAUCCCAAUGGCAAAUUGCCCACUUCAAAGCCAUGGCCAUGUAUCUUUAGGUGCUUUUCAGAAUUAAAAAGGGAGAAUUUCCCAACACAUUCUCAAACUUCGAUCAAGAUUCCUAAUUUACGAGGUAUCUCUUCCUUAGUUCAGAAAUGGAGAUCUUUUGAGGUCGAGGCCAAGUGCUUUCAGAGUAAUUUGCCUUUCUGUUGCACUAGAAGCAAUUCGAGCAUGACUUUGGCAGAGAAUGUUUCUAAUGUUGGUGAAGUUGAGUUUGACUUCGUUAGGAAUUGGGCAAAAUGACAAUGCUGACAAGAAU